rnacentral:rRNA from 1 species
AUACGGAGGGUGCAAGCGUUAUUCGGAAUCACUGGGCGUAAAGGACGCGUAGGCGGGUUGGCAAGUCAGAUGUGAAAUCCUACAGCUUAACUGUAGAACUGCAUUUGAAACUGCUAACCUAGAGUAUGGGAGGGGGAGAUGGAAUUAGUGGUGUAGGGGUAAAAUCCGUAGAUAUCACUAGGAAUACCGAAAGCGAAGGCGAUCUCCUGGAACAUAACUGACGCUAAGGCGUGAAAGCGUGGGUAGCGAACAGGAUUAGAAACCCUAGUAGUCC